rnacentral:tRNA from 1 species
GCGCCGGAAGUGUUGAAGCGGCACGACCUGAAUUCCAUCAGGCAGGGGGCGGUGCGAAUCCGACCCCGGCGCUCCA